UUUAUCCUACGGGGGGCAGCAGUGGGGAAUAUUGCACAAUGGGGGGAACCCUGAUGCAGCGACGCCGCGUGGGUAAAGGAGUACUUCGGUACGUAAAGCCCUGUCAGCAGGGAAGAAAAUGACGGUACCUGAAGAAGAAGCCCCGGCUAACUACGUGCCAGCAGCCGCGGUAAUACGUAGGGGGCAAGCGUUAUCCGGAUUUACUGGGUGUAAAGGGGGCGCAGACGGCGAUGCAAGCCAGGAGUGAAAGCCCGGGGCCCAACCCCGGGACUGCUCUUGGAACUGCGUGGCUAGAGUGCAGGAGG
rnacentral:rRNA from 1 species